UACAGAGGUCUCAAGCGUUGUUCGGAAUUACUGGGCGUAAAGGGUGCGCAGGCCGCGCGGGCAGUCAAAUGUGUAAUCCAGGGGCUCAACCCCUGAACUGCGCUUGAUACUUCCGCGCUCGAGCUUUGGAGAGGAGUUCGUGGAAUUCUCGGUGUAGCAGUGAAAUGCGUGGAUAUCGAGAAGAACACUUAGGGCGUAGGCAAGACUCUGGACAAAUGCUGACGCUCAUGCACGAAGGCUAGGGUAGCGAACGGG
rnacentral:rRNA from 1 species